rnacentral:rRNA from 1 species
UACGAAGGGUGCAAGCGUUACUCGGAAUUACUGGGCGUAAAGCGUGCGUAGGUGGUUUGUUAAGUCUGUUGUGAAAGCCCCGGGCUCAACCUGGGAAUGGCAAUGGAUACUGGCAAGCUAGAGUGCGGUAGAGGGUAGUGGAAUUCCCGGUGUAGCGGUGAAAUGCGCAGAUAUCAGGAGGAACACCGGUGGCGAAGGCGGAUCUCUGGACGAUGACUGACGCUGAGACGCGAAAGCGUGGGGAGCAAACAGG